rnacentral:rRNA from 1 species
GAUGAACGCUGGCGGCGUGCCUAAUACAUGCAAGUCGAGCGAACAGACGAGGAGCUUGCUCCUCUGACGUUAGCGGCGGACGGGUGAGUAACACGUGGAUAACCUACCUAUAAGACUGGGAUAACUUCGGGAAACCGGAGCUAAUACCGGAUAAUAUAUUGAACCGCAUGGUUCAAUAGUGAAAGACGGUUUUGCUGUCACUUAUAGAUGGAUCCGCGCUGCAUUAGCUAGUUGGUAAGGUAACGGCUUACCAAGGCAACGAUGCAUAGCCGACCUGAGAGGGUGAUCGGCCACACUGGAACUGAGACACGGUCCAGACUCCUACGGGAGGCAGCAGUAGGGAAUCUUCCGCAAUGGGCGAAAGCCUGACGGAGCAACGCCGCGUGAGUGAUGAAGGUCUUCGGAUCGUAAAACUCUGUUAUUAGGGAAGAACAUAUGUGUAAGUAACUGUGCACAUCUUGACGGUACCUAAUCAGAAAGCCACGGCUAACUACGUG